rnacentral:rRNA from 1 species
UACGAAGGGUGCAAACGUUGCUCGGAAUUAUUGGGCGUAAAGCGCACGUAGGCGGCUUUGCAAGUCGGAUGUGAAAUCCCUCGGCUUAACCAAGGAAGUGCAUCCGAAACUGCAGAGCUUGAGUACUUAAGAGGAUCGCGGAAUUCCGAGUGUAGAGGUGAAAUUCGUAGAUAUUCGGAAGAACACCAGUGGCGAAGGCGACUUACUGGACACAUAUUGACGCUGAGGUGCGAAAGCGUGGGGAGCAAACAGG